UACAGAGGUCCCAAGCGUUACUGAGAAUCCCUGGGUUUAAAGGGUGCGUAGGUGGUCCGUUAAGUCAGUUGUGAAAUCCCCGGGCUCAACCCGGGAACUGCUUCUGAUACUGGCGGACUUGAGGCCAGUAGGGGUCACUAGAACUGACGGUGGAGCGGUGAAAUGCGUAGAUAUCGUCAGGAAUGCCGGUGGUGAAGACGGGUGACUGGGCUGGUUCUGACACUGAGGCACGAAGGCGUGGGGAGCGAACGGG
rnacentral:rRNA from 1 species